AUACGGAGGGUGCAAGCGUUGUUCGGAAUCACUGGGCGUAAAGGGCGCGCAGGCGGUUUGGUAAGUCAGAUGUGAAAGCCCACGGCUCAACCGUGGAAGUGCAUUUGAAACUGCCAGACUUGAGUACCAGAGGGGAAAGUGGAAUUCCCGGUGUAGAGGUGAAAUUCGUAGAUAUCGGGAGGAAUACCGGUGGCGAAGGCGACUUUCUGGCUGGAUACUGACGCUGAGGCGCGAAAGCGUGGGGAGCAAACAGAAUUAGAUACCCUAGUAGUCC
rnacentral:rRNA from 1 species